UGGGGUAUAGCCAAGAGGAAAGGCAACGGGUUUUGAUCCCGUGAUCCCAGGUUCAAAUCCUGGUACCCCUG
rnacentral:tRNA from 1 species